GGGGAGAAUCGCAGGGGUGGGUGAGGACCCGCGACUACGGUUCGACAAAUCAGCGUGCUGAUUUGAACGCCGCUUGCGGCGGCCCGCAGGGCGAGUGCGUAGCCCGCGUGAUUCCACUGUCUCCGCAG
rnacentral:sRNA from 7 species